AUCGCUUCUCGGCCCUAUGGCUAAGAUCAAAGUGUAGUAUCUGUUCUUAUCAGCUUGAUAUCUGAUACGCUCUUCAUUGAAGAGCCAGAAUAUCGAACUGAUUUUUGGAAAUCGGCGGAAUGUCUGGGGCUUGCUCCGAUUCUGCCACGGGUUGUCUCUGCAUUGCAGUACCGCAGUGAACGGCCCACUUAAU